rfam:Mycobacterium sp. VKM Ac-1817D, complete genome.
AGGGCAACGGGAUCCACUCCGCGGGUGACGACGAGGUAGUCGCGCAGCGCAAUGCUGUGACGCCCCUC